AGUGAACGCUGGCGGUAGGCCUAACACAUGCAAGUCGAACGGCAGCACAGUAGGAGCUUGCUCUUACGGGUGGCGAGUGGCGGACGGGUGAGGAAUACAUCGGAAUCUACUUUUUCGUGGGGGAUAACGUAGGGAAACUUACGCUAAUACCGCAUACGACCUACGGGUGAAAGCAGGGGAUCUUCGGACCUUGCGCGAUUGAAUGAGCCGAUGUCGGAUUAGCUAGUUGGCGGGGUAAAGGCCCACCAAGGCGACGAUCCGUAGCUGGUCUGAGGGGAUGAUCAGCCACACUGGAACUGAGACACGGUCCAGACUCCUACGGGAGGCAGCAGUGGGGAAUAUUGGACAAUGGGCGCAAGCCUGAUCCAGCCAUACCGCGUGGGUGAAGAAGGCCUUCGGGUUGUAAAGCCCUUUUGUUGGGAAAGAAAAGCAGCAGGUUAAUACCCCGCUGUUCUGACGGUACCCAAAGAAUAAGCACCGGCUAACUUCGUG
rnacentral:rRNA from 1 species